AACAACAUUAGCAAAAAAGGAAUAGCUAACUAUCUCCCAUGGCCGGUAUGGGGAACGACACACAGGCCCUAUGCUUGGUAGCUCUUGUAGCCAUGGCCACCACUAUCUUCUCAUGUCAAGCAGCAGGGCGUUACAUAGAUACUGACCUGUGUACAACUGUGGACUAUUGUUCGCCACCAGACCGAGCUAGUGGCAACAUUGCGUGCAAAGCUAACUGUGUUAACCGAGGUUAUGACAAGGAUAAGAGUAGUUGCGUUGAAGGAAGUAGUAGCACAUGCUGUUGCACAAAGAACUGAGAAGUACCAUGAAAUGAGUUUAUAUAUGUACUAGAAAUAUUGCGUGAAGGUGAAUGCUUACAUUGUUUGUGUGAAACCUGAUUCAGUUCAUACAGGUAAAUUAAUAAUAAGCUAUUAAUAAUUGUUGA